GCCCGGGUGGCGUAAUUGGCAGCCGCGCACGACUUAAAAUUGUGUGGAGUAAUCCGUGUGGGUUCGAGUCCCACCCCGGGCA
rnacentral:tRNA from 1 species